rnacentral:lncRNA from 1 species
GACAUGUGGUAGGAGCUCCCUAUCAUGACGAGAAGGAGCUCCAAGUACCUUAUUUUUGGGGCGGGGAACCAUGGGUGGAUAGUGAAGGAUUUGGAGUUUUGGACAUGGAGCUUGAUGUGAUUAAAGAGGUGCCACAACCCAAUGAGAAAGAACCCUAGCCCUGGAAAAAAGUGCCCUAUCAUAGAACUCGCCAUGUGAGCUAGAAAGAACUACCAAAGUGCCCUAAAACUCAGUUUUUAUGCUUUGAGGAAGACGUGAGAGGCUUGUUUGAGAUGGGGUUUUGAAGGGGUUUGGUCUUUGAUAUGGGAUUAGGGAGUUCUAUACUUCUAUUUCAAUUUGCAGUGCUCAUUAGGGUUUGAAGAAGAAAAGAGAGGCUUGUUUGAGAUGAGCUUUUGAAGGGGGUUUGAGGGGUUUUGGACGGGGUUGAUGAGGAGUUCUAUUUCAAUUUGCAGAGCUCAUUAGCGUCCUGCAUUGUAGGUGUGCCUUGGGAAGUAGGGGUAUUUAUACUUGAACAGUGAACAUGGCUGCCUUUUCUCUUUGAGGUAAAGAAUAUACAGUAGAAUGGUAGGGCAAUCCUAUUGGAUUUGAUUCAACUAAAUACUAAUUUUCAUGUACCCAUUUUGUUUAUGGAGAGAAAUAAUUUGUUUGGUAGAAAAGAAUUAGCAACACAUUAAAGAAAAUUUAGAAAAUGGGUUUUUAAAGGAAGAAAAUAGUUUUAAUUAUUGGCCCAUCAUUUGGUUUGUGGAGAGAAAAAUAAUUUGUUUCAUAGAGAAGAAUUACCAACACAUUAAAGAAAAUUUGGAAAAUGGGUUUUUAAAGGAAGAAAAUGGUUUUUAACUAUUAGUCCAUCAUUCUCGAUAUAAUUAUUAUGACCUAAAAAAUCGAUGAAUCCCUAAUUUGUAUUAAUCUUAGUCUCAUACAUGGACAAAUGAUGAAAUCCUAGAUUGUAUUAGUCUAAGUAUUACUUAAAAUAUAGUACAUUAAUAACAUAAUAAUUUUUUCAAAAGCAGGUAUCUUAAAUGUUUUAUAUAUCCUAACAACGUGGGCAAAAAUAGUUUGUAACUCAAUUAUCAAAUAGAGCAUUCUCAUCAUGAUCUUCAUCACUCACGCAUCAUCACGGUUUCAAUUUUUUUUUUUUUAAUACUGGAUUGAGCCUCAAUAUGUCAUGUAACAGUAGUCAUUUAUUCCAUUUUCAGAGCACAAGUGGCUUAGAAUAUCCACCAAUUUGGGGUUUAAGGCAAGGGGGCACCGCAUUUGGGUGUUGCUUUUCAUUAUAAGAAACGUUAGCAUAAGAAAGCUAGGUACGUACCCUUGGAAAUUGAUUGAUAACGUGUAGCCUUGGUGCAUUAUAAUCAAUUCAAAAGUUCAAUUAACAAUUUAGAAUUUUAGGGUAUCUGGUGGUAUGGUUUCAAGAAUUUAUUUCACACUCUGAACUUGAUUGAAACUCUCAUGCACGGUAAAUUAAUUUACAUGAUUUUAAAGUUAUGAUCUCAAAACAAGAGAACAAAGAAACUUGAAUCAAUAAAAAUAAUUGAAUAAUUACAUAGAUCGCGACAUGAUUUCAAGAAACUAAUACAUAACUUUCCAAAUAUUGCUUAUUGUUUCAACACACAUUGGAACACAAGUGAAAUCACCCAAAUUAGCUCAAAGCAAUUCAUGCAACCCAAACAACCUCACAUCAAUUUCCCUCAAAUCAAAUUCAUUUUCCCUCUAUUCCUUGUUUCCACUAAGCCAACAUUAAUCAUUGCUGGCCUAAUAAUUCAACAAAGAAUAAUGGAAUUCCCACCAAAUUAAUUAUUAACAAUUUAUAUAUAUAUAUAUAUAUAUAUAUAUAUAUAUAGAUAUAUCUUCCUUAGUUAUCUUGCUCUUCUCCUACAACCCAAGAUCAUCAUCGUCAUCAUGAUGUUCCACUCCUUUCUCUUCUUUCUUCUCCCAUGACAAGUUCUUGACCUUUUUUCCAUAAGCGUCAACCAAAAACAAGUAAAAGGACACUGAAAAUAUCAUGAUAGCAAUAAGAUACCAGCUGAACUCUAUGUUUAUCAGCGCUUUAGCACGAUGGAGCGACUCAUCAUCAUGGCAGCGAGCCUCCUGGUGACCACCCUCAUCCCAUAAAAGAGAGCACCCUUUAGGGAUAAAGCCUGGAGUCCAAAGCAUAACCCCUGUGGCCAUCAGCCAAACCCCAAGGAAAAGUAUACAAAGAGACCUAGAAAAACCAAGUAUAAAGCUCUUGGGAAAGCCUAUUGCCAUGAGACUAGUUGCCAUGGAGACAAGCGUGAGCAUCUGCAGAAACAAAUGGUAUUGUCCUUCCAGGCCGGCGUGGUCGGUGGAGUGAAGGCGAAACAUGAGUAACUGCUGGCCGAGGGCUACGGCAGCAAGGAGCUGAGUCAGGCCAUACUUAGCCUUAGCGGCAACAAAAUCAAGGACAAUGGAAAAAGAGGUGUAAACGAUGAAGGUUAUGGCGAUGGAGGCGUGCUCAAAGUUACGUAGAUAGGGAGAUGGGAUGGUGCCAUCCGGAUCAAAGCGAUGGUGCCGGAAGAGCUCAGUGAACACGUAGUAGGAGCUCCCUAUCAUGAUGAGAAGGAGCUCCAAGUACCUUAUUUUUGAGGCGGGGAACCAUGGGUGGAUAGUGAAGGAUUUGGGGUUUUGGACAUGGAGCUUGAUGUGAUUAAAGAGGUGCCACAACCCAAUGAGAAAGAACCCUAGUCCUGGAAAAAAGUGCCCUAUCAUAGACCUCGCCAUGUGAGCUAGAAAGAACUACCAAAGUGUCCCUAAAACUCAGUUUUUGUGCUUUGAGGAAGAAGAGAGGCUCGUUUGAGAUGGGGUUUUGAGGGGGUUUGAGGGGUUUUAGAUAUGGGGUAAGGGAGUUCUAUACUUUCAAUUUGCAGAGCUCAUUAGCGUUUGAGGAAGAAGAGAGAGGCUUGUUUGAGAUGGGCUUUUGAAGGGGUUUGAGGGCGUUUUAGAUGGGGUUGAUGAGGAGUUCUAUUUCAAUUUGCAGAGCUCGUUAGGGUCUGCCCGCAGGUAGUGUGCCUUGGGGAGUACGUGUAUUUAUACUUGACCAGUGAACAAGGCAGCCCUUCUCAAUGAGGUAAAAAACAUAUAGUAGAAUGGUAGGGCCAAUCCUUUUGGAUUUGGUUCAGCUAAAUACUAAUUUUCAUGUACCCAUAUGUUUAUGGAGAGAAAAAUAACUUGUUUGGUAGAGAAGAAUUAGCAACACAUUAAAGAAAAUUUGGAAAAUGGGUUUUUUUAAAGGAAGAAAAUAGUUUUAAUUAUUGGCCCAUCAUUUUGUUUAUGGAGAGAAAAAAUAACCAAAUUUUAGAUAUUGAAGGCUAGCUAGAAACAUAUUAAAGAAAUUUAUUUUAUUUUAUUUUAUAAAAAAUAUUAAUUUUAUGAAAUAGAUUAUUCUAAAGAUAUAAGUACAUUGAUAGUAGAAAAUAAAUUUUUUAAUCCAAUCUUGAUUCAAUAUGAAAUGUUUUUGUAUCAAAUCUUACCAAAGAAACAUACUUCAAAAGUGCAUUAAAUUCAACAGUUAUACUAAUAAAUAAAGAUUAUAGCAUGUGAAGAUGUAAAUAUACCAAAUUGUUCAUCUCGGCCUCUCAUCGAUUUAGAUUGCGUUUGACAAUGCUUUUGGAAAGUGUUUUUAGUUUUUUUAAUACUUAAAAUUUUUUAUUUUUCAAGUAUUAAAAAAACUAAAAACACUUCUUAAAAUUACUAUCAAACGCACUCUUAAUAUUGUCAUUACAAGUUCUAUUAAAGAUGAGAAUUAUGAACUUAUGUUUUGGGUCUAAUUUUAUCUCCUUGGUCUUUUUUUUCAAGUAUAAUUUGAAGUUUGAUUGAGCUAUUAUUAGUUACUUUGGAUUCCUUUUUCAAGUAUAGCUUAAUAAUGACCUAUUUCAUGGUUAUUUUUAAUGUACUUAAAGACUUAUUAAAUGAUAGUUGGUGUCAAACUAUUUGCCUUUUAGUGGAUUGCAGGGGUUUUUUUGAAAUGAUAAUCUUCUCUUAAUGGGUUUGAUUCUUGUCAUGUUUAGAUUUAGUAAGAGGGGUUUGAUUAUAAUAUCUAAAGGUACUUUCAAUACAUACGGAGAAGACAUCAUCAAUAAGAUAUACCUCAUAUACAAUUUUUGGUUUUAUUGUUUUAUUGUUAAGGAUGAUAAUGAAUGAGUUUUUUUAGGCAUUUGUCUUGAUCUACCUCUAAUGAGAUGAGUUUGAAAUUUAAAUAAACGGAUUAGGGAUGAGUUUGAGAUUUAAAAAAAAAAAAUCCUAAAUGGGUUCAAGCAUUGCCUUAUUCCGUCCCAUCGCACCCAUAUUAUAUAUAAAAUUAAUUUUUAUAUAAAGAUGAUUUGAUAUAAAGCUUGUGAUACAAUAUUUAUAUUGAAAUCGAAUGUAAUAUUCAAUUAAAUUUUCUUGAGAUUGAAAUAUGAAUUUUUUUUAUUCCUUUAAAAUUUGUAUAGAAUAAAAUGAAAUAUAAUAGUAAUACAAACAAUAGUACCUUUUUACUAAAACUCUUUUUAAAUUUUGUACACAUGCAAACAUGCUUAUUGAGACAUGAAAAAUAAAAAUAAAAAUGAGGCUUAGGUACAAAAUAAGAUUUUAUUUUCUCCUUCAUAUUAUAAUGUACAAUGAAAUAUGUGAACUAUAAUGCAAAUAUAUAAUUAUGUUUUUUUUUCUUUUUUAUUUUUUAUUUUUAUAACAUUUAUGUACUAAUAGUGCAUUUGAGAAUGUUUUUACUUGAAAUUUUUUUUCUAAAAGUGUUUUUAGGAGAAUUUUUUAUCAAGUGUUUUUCCAAAAAAUACUACAAAUGACUUUUUUUUUUUUUUAAUAUUAUAAGUAAUUUUUCAGAUUUUUAAAAGUAUUUUUUAAAAUUUAUUAAACACUUAUUUUUUUUCUUAUAUAUAUAAAAAGGUGAUGCAUGAAAGCUUUCUUGUAGCAUCACCAUUGAUAUUUUUGUUAUUUUAUUUUCGAAACAUUAUUAUUAAAAAGAAAGGAAUUAAAAUUAUUUUCAAAUAAUUGUGAGAUUUUUUAUUUGGAUGUAUUUUGUUUUCUUCUUCAAAUUAUAUUACAAUAAAAAACUCUGAAUUAUAUUUGAGUGACAAACAAUUCAACCACAAUUAUUUCUUGGCAUUUUCUUCUUUAUUCCUCUAACGUUCAUUUAAUAUAAUAUCACACUUCAAGUUGAUUCGAUAUGAGACUUCUCAUAUAAGAUUUAGAUGUAAAUUAUUCAUACAAAAAUCAGUGAAAUUUAAAUUAAAUAUCAAUAUAAAUAUAUAUAUAUUAAAAAUGAAAUUUCUUUUAUUUUUAAAACAUUAUCCUUGUGUAGUUAUCUUUUCUUCUUCAAGCAUCCUCCAUGCAUGUGGGGUUACUAUUAGAUAUGAUUUUGUUUUCUCCUUCCAAGUUCUCGCAAUUAAUAAAUACUAUUGGAUACAAUACAAAUAUACAACUCGAAAAUGAUUAUUUCUUGUCAUUUUCUUCUAUAUUUCUAUGUCCUUGAUUUAACACAACACCUAUUCAAAUUGAUUUAAAAUUGAGGCUUAUGAUAUAAGAUUUGAAUUUAAAAUCCAACAAAUAUUUGUCAAACAUCAUAUAAACAAUAAACCAUUGGAUCCAACAAACAUAUUAUUAGUAUAUACAUUAAAAAAAUACAUAAUAGAUGUUGGAAAUAACUUUGAACUUAAUUCAAGUACUUUUUGGUUGACAAAUAAGCUUAGGAGUAGAAGAUUUUACCUUGCGCUAUGUUUAGUUCUCAAAAAGUACUAAGAAAAGAAAAAAAUAAUGUUAAGGAAAAUGAUUUUCUUAUAUUUAAUUUCAUGAGGGAAGAUAGAAAAGAAAUCAAAUAUAAUUAAAACUUAAUUAGAAAUUUAUAUAUUUUAAAAUUAUUUAAUAUUUGAAAAAAAUAUGAAAUGAGUUUAAAGUAGUAUGUAAUAAUAAUUGAUUAAUUUUGAAUAUAUUUUUAUUUUAUUUUAUUUUUUAUUUUUUCUAUUUUCUUUCCCUCACAUUUUCUCUCAAAAUUUUCAAGAACCAAAUAUUGCGUUAGAAUUUGUUGAGAAGAAGAAAAAUGGGAGAAGAAAUGAAAAGGUGUAGUGUGGAAUAGAAGAAUGAUCAGAAUCAUAUCCCACAGACAACAAUAAUAUUGAAGUUUGUUGGGAAGAAGAAAAAUGAGAGAAAAAGAUAAUUGUAUUUUGUUCCUCAAUUUGUAGCAACCAAAUAGAUAGGUAAAGAUAAUUGAACUUCCUUUUAUUUGACUAUCUUUCUUGCCGACUAAAUAAAAACCUAAUAAGCAGAUACGCAGGAAAAACAUUAGAGUUUUGCCAUGGCAGACUAUACAUGGCUCAAGCUAGGCUUCUUCUUCUCAGGUUAUUAAGACAAAUCUUCAUUUUUCAUCGAGCUACGUUUUAAUUCCAAAAAUAUUUGAGGGAAAAUGCAAGGAAAAAAAUAAAGAGAAAGAAUGGAGGAAAAUAAAAAUAUAUCUAAAGUUAUUUAAUUAUUUUUAUAUGUAAUUUCAAAAUUAUUUCAUUUAUUUGAACUCUUUUAUAUAAAAAUUAAAUAAUUUGAAAAUAUAUAAAUUUUAAAGUAAUUUUAAUUAUAUUUGAUUUUUUUGUUUAUCAUAAUGAAAUCAAGAAUAAAAACUUCUUUAAUAUUUUUUUCUUCCUUUGAUACUUUCUUGGAAUAAAAUAUAGCAUUAGGCUCCUCCUAUCAAUAUAACCAUGAGAGAUUGGAGCUUUAGUUCGGCGAAACACUAGAGAGAACGACGUCCAUUCCUUGAUUAAAAAAAAGAAGUGCUUAAGACCUUGGUAUUAUACCAAUUAUUAUCAUAAAAGUAAAAGACAAUAAGUAACUUUUAUGCAAUUGACCUUUUGAGACAAUUGAAACUCAAAUAGUCAUCUUUCAUGCUUCAAAAUGUAUUUCCUUUAUUUGGAAAAAAUACAACCAAAUAUUACGAAUAGUCUUCUUCCUUGGGUUUUCAUAAUUUUUGGGCAACUAAAUUAUGGAUACUUCCUCCUUAGUCUUCUUGUGGAUGUGCCGAUAGAGGACACGUUACUAUGAGCUAACGAUUGAGGUUGUAUCUUAGAUCGAUUAUUAUUCAUUAACAUGACACGUAGAGAGGUAAUAACAACUUUAGGACAAUGUGUUACCACUUGCCUCAUCAAGCUAAGUCAAUUUUUCUUUAACUUUGAUUUGAAUUAUUAUAUUAUAGAUUUAAGGAAGAACUUAAAGAAAAAAAAAAUAGAAAGAAUGUAAAAGAAUACUUAAUUUUUCUUAACAAUCUAAAACUACUAUUCCUUCGAGGGAAAAAGGUAUUUUUUAAUGAUAUAAUUUGACAUCUUUAUUUUUUUAUUUACAAAAGAUCUUUGACAUCUUUAUUACUUUAUUUGCAAAGACAAAUAACUUUGAAAAUUCUCAAACUUUAUUUUUUUUAUUGUGAGUACUUAGAAAGCUAAUUUAUUCUAUUAGUAUUAUUUAAAAAAAAACUUGUAAGGGAACACAUGUUUUGAUACAAUAAAAAAUAAAUAAAUAAAUAAUUUUGAAACUUGAAAGUAUAAGAUUCAGGUUCUAUAGUAAAGUUAUAUAUAUAUUUAUAUCAGCUGACUUCCUCAAGCACCUCAUUUGUGCCUAGGAAGUUCUUUGAGAGGAUCUAAGAACAUAAAAUUAGAUUGAAUCCAUAGAAAUGCGUAUUUGAAGUGACAAUCAAUAAGCUACUUGGGUUUAUGGUUAGUCGGAGAUAAUGCUAUCCUACGACAUGAAUUUCACGAUAGGCACAAUCCUUAAAAAGUUUUUCGCAAUCGAAUACCAUCAUACCUCUUUAAGGAACAAACUAACUACUUUGUGAAAAGUUUUCUCUAGUUGAAUACUAUUAUGCCCAUUUCACGAACAAAUCAUUUGCUAUAUCUAUACGUCAUUUGCUGAAAAAAUUUUAUUUAUUGGCUUUAUUUUAAGAAAUUUUAUUUGUUGGAUUUUUAUAUUUAAAUAUUUACUGCUUCAUUUGGAUUAUUCUUUGCUUAUAUUUGUUGUUACAUUUUGAUUAUUAUAAUAGUUAAUUUAGUGUUGGCAUAUAAUUUAAUUAUUGUUUCAUAGAAAACAUUUUAUUGCUAAAAUUACUUGAGUAAGUUACUGAAAAAGAUUAUAUUGGAAAGUAUUUUACUCUUAAAUUAUUUGAGUAAGUUGUUAGAGUUAUCUUAUUCAAAUAUUAUUUGUUGGAUUAUUUAUUGAGAUAGGUUUCUUUAUAGUUGGAAUUUAUUUUAUAAAGUUGAUAGAAUUUCCUUUGAAAUUGUGACCGUAACUUAUUAUUUAAAAGAAAAAAACUUUGAAUCAAUUGAUUUAUUAUUAACAUAAAUGUCUUUAUACUUGAAGACUAUUUUUACCCUUGUUAAUAAUAAUAAUAAUAAUAAUAAUAAUAAUAAUAAUAAAUCUCAUUUUGUUAUAAUGACUACCUUUGAAGUUGAAAAAAGUCAGUGGGUUCCACUUUUGAAGAUGACAAAAACAAAUGAAAUAUCGAUUAACUGUAUUAGGGUUUAUUUCCACUCUAGAAGAAAAGAAUGACACCAACCAAAAUGAAGAAUCCUCAUCCUCCUUAGCACUAGAACAAAUAAAUCAUCAUUGUCAUAAUCAGAUUUUUAGUCCACAUUACUGUAGGGACCUCUCUCCUUGAUGACACGUGGCACGCAUUUCUAUCCGGAUUUCCCCAAGAGGACAUGUGGCGCGCUUCCCCUAUCCGGACUCCCUCAGGGAGAGGCACACGACACUCGCAAACAUCGCAUCCGAACGACCGUCAUAUCACAUCCGGACGACCGACAUAUCCUAUCCGGAUAUGUUUGUCUGGAUCGUUGACUAAAGUAAGCAAAUCUUACUACGUCAUUCCGACAGCUUGCCACAGCCCACGUUCUGCCACCUGCAGAGCGAAAGGACAGGAAUGAUGGCAAGUCACCUCCCACGAUCUCUGACAGCCGCCCAUAGGGUGAUGAUGGCCCUGCCACCACCUAGAGGCAUCAUGACAAGCCAAAAAGUCUCCCUACCAUUAAAGAGGGAGACAGAGCUUCUGAUACUAUAUAUAUGGACCUUCACACAAGGAGGAAAGUAAGCUUGCUAUACCUAGUAAAAGGCCAACUGCUUUAUCUCUCUAACCAUGGCUGACAAAACCAUCGGAGGGUGUGUCCAGACACCUUGUCCGGACACCUUUUGCAGGGACGACUGAACUAGAAUUCUAUCUUGGUUGAAAGCGUGCGUCCAUUUGGCAGCUAUGUGGAUCAUUGGGACGCAAGGCCUCAACAACUACCACUAGUGCUAAAGAUCUUUGGAAUGCCUUCGAAACCCAAUAUGCAUGGUGGAGUUGAUGUGGGUAUAGAACAAUAUUUUAUAGUUUCUGAUUUCAAUAAGUUCAUCAUGGUAGAUGGAAAACCUAUAAGUAAUCAAAUUCAUGAGUUUCAAGAGCUUCUAAGAGGGGUAGAAAGAAAAAGACACAAUUUUAAUUUAAUGAAGACUUUAAAGUAUCUUGCCUUAUAGAUAAACUUCCUCUUUCAAGGUCCAACUUUGCUCAAUCUCUUAGACAUAAGAAAUGAGAAUUAACAUUGAUCCAAGUAAUUAAUUGAAGAAAAUCAUAGGUAAAAUGUUAAGCAAGAAAAUGAAAUAAAGUCAAAGGUAAAUCUAGUGGAGAUGUCAAAUAAAUCAAACUUUAAAAAUUAAUUUCGUUCUAGGGGAAAGAAUUUAAAAAUAAAUAAUAGAUAAAAUAAUAAUCAUCAAAAUCCUUACCAAAAUAAUCAAUCCCGUCAUCACUAACCAAACCACCAACCCAAUUAUGUAAAGGACAAAAGUAAUGGAAAGAAAGCUUGCUUUGUGUGCCACUAUUAUAAAAGGAAUAGGGAAUACAAGCCCAACAACAACAACAAACAAGGUUCAAGAGCUCAAAUUAAUAUGUUGAUGGAUGGUGAGAACUCAAGUGAAUAUUCUAUUAGUUAUAAUCUUGAUUAGCCCUUGAUUAAUUUUACCUAUUAUAAUAAAGAUUAGUAGUUAGAUUUUGGAGCUAAUGUCCAUAUAUGUCUUGAUCAUGCAUGUUUUAAAUUAUAUUGAACUCAAGUGGAGAAAGUGUGACUUUAAGAAAUGACUUCAUCACAUAUGUGCUAAGAAUAGCACAAGUAGACUUGAAGAUGACAUUUGGGAAGGUCCUAACUCUUAAAAAAGUGUAACAUGUUACAAGAGUGAGAAGAAAUCUAAUUAGUAUUCAUUCUUAGUCCAACAAGGUUGUAAAGUUGUAUUGGAGUCCAAUAAAGUAGUAAUUACCUACAAUAAUGUAUUCAUUGGACACAAUUAUGUAUGCCCUCUAUUUAAGUUGAAUGUACACUUAUUGGAUGAAAGUAAUAAAAUUCUUUUUUAUGUUUUCGAUAUUGAAUUUAGCAAUAAUUAGCAUGGUGGAUUGGAACAUGUGAGCCUAGGAAAGUUAAAAAGAUUGAUGGAUCUCAACUUAAUUCCUACGGCAAAUAUGGAUUUUAAACAUAAAUAUGAAAUAUGUAUACAAGCAAAACAACUAAAGAAACCUUAUAACCUAUAGUGAGAAAUACUAAACUAUUAGAAUUAAUGCAUGGUGAUUUAUGUGACGCAAAUCAACCUUCUAUUAGAGUUGAGAAUAAAUACUUGCUAACCUUCAUUAUUGAUCACUCCAAGUAUUGCUAUGUAUACCUUAUCAAAACUAAGGAUGGAGUAUUUGAAAAGUUGAAGUAAUAUAAGAGUGAAGUUGAAAAUCAGUUAGAAAGAAAAAUUAAAGUACUUGGAUCAACUAGAAGAAGUGUAUAUACUAGAACCAACUUAACAACAUUUUGUGAGAAACAUGGAAUAAUAUAUGAAGUCAUGCCAUCUUACUCACCUCAAUCAAAUGGUGUAGUUGAAAGAAAGAACUGCACUUUAAUGGAUAUAGUAAAUGUUAUACUUUUGAAUUCAUGUGCCCUUAAAACUUGGAGAAACAAUAUUAUCAUGUUACCUAUUAAUUAAAUAGAGGCACUAUUAAAGAUAAUGAAAAAGCUACUUUUGAAUUAUGGAAAAAUAGAAUUCUUAAAUAGAUAUAUUAAAAUUGUGGGGGUGUUUAUAAAAAAUAACUAUACCUAAACCUUAAAGGAAAAAAAAUAAGACCUAAAACUAUAGACAUUAUCUUCAUAGGAUAUGCUCAUAACCAUAAUGCAAAUUAGUUCCUAUUUGUAAAAUCUAAAGUUAAUGAGAUUUAUAAUAAUACAAUAAUUGAAGCUAAAGAUGCCACAUACUUUGAAGAUAUAUUUCCCUUUAGAACUAAAGUUUCUAAUCAAGUCAAUGAUAAACCAUCCAAUUCAAAGCAUAUUUUCAAUGACAUGACUCGCUUAAAUUUGGAUGUGGAACCUCAUGUUGAACCUAGAAGAAGUAAAAGAGGAAAAAUAAUAGAAAAAACUUCGAAGAUGACUUUUAUACUUGAUUAGUGAAAGGAUAAGUUAACCUAUCAAGAGGCUAUGACUUCUAUAAAUGCACCUUUUUUACUACUUUGAUACUUCUUCUCUGAUCUCUAGGAUUACAACUAUUAGAAUUUUGAUAGUCUUAGCAUCAAUCCAUAAUUUAGUAAUACAUCAAAUGGAUGUUAAAACCUUUUUUCUGAAUGGUGACUUAGUGAAAAAAAUAUACAUAGAACAACCUAAAGGUUUUAAGAUAAAAGGAUAAGAGCAUAAGGUAUGUACAUUAGUGAAAUGAUCAUUAUAUGGUCUUAAAUAAGCUCUAAAACAGUGGCAUGAAAAGUUUGAUAAAGUCGUUUUAGAUUAUGGGUUUAAAAUUAGUGAUCAUGAUAAAUGUGAAUAUAAAAUAGACUUAAAAGAAUGCAUCAUACUUUGUCUUUAUAUGGAUGAUAUUCUAAUUUUUGAAAAUAAUAUGGAAAUAGUGAAUGACAUGAAAGAUUAUUUGUCUACGAACUUUGAGAUGAAGGAUUUAGAAGAUGCACAUAUAAUAUUGUGAAUGAGACUUUCAAGAACAAGUGAAGGAAUAACUUUAGAUCAAUCAAAUGCCAUUGAAAAAUAUUAAAGAAGUUUAAUUACUUUGAUAGUAAAUUAGUAUCCACACCUUAUGAUUCCAAUAUGCAUUUGAAUAAUGUUGGAGAACCAAAAUAAUAAUUAAAGUACCCUCAAACACUAAGGUCUCUAUUGCGUAUUAUAAAUAAAAUUAGACCUGGUAUAGCAUAUGUAGUUGGGAGACUAAGUAGGUAUAUUCAUAAUCUUUGUUAAGGAAUGUUGGAUUCCUUUAGAAAAAGUCUUUAAGUAUCUCAAAGGAACUUUGACUUAUUCUUUAUGUUACAAAGGAUUCUCUAAUAUAGUGGAAGGAUAUAAUGAUGCAAAUUGGAUAAUUGAUAAUCUCGAUGCAAAAUCCACUAGAGGAUAUGUUUUUUAGAAGGUGCAACUAUUUCUUGGGGAUCUAAGAAACAAACUAUGAUAUCAAGAAAUACAAUGAAAUCUAAGUUAAUUGCACUAGAUACAACAUGCAUUGAGGUUGAAUGGAUUAAAGACUUACUAUUGGAUAUCCCUUUAUUAAGUACCUACAUGUAAUAUUUGUGCUUUGUGAUAGUAAAGCUAUAAUAGAUUUGGUGAAUCCAUCCCAUACAAAUAAGAAGAUGAAUAAACACAUAUAAAUGAGAUACAAAUUAAUAUGAAACCUUCCAAGUAAAAAUGUGAUAUCAUUGGAUUUUGUAAGAUAUAAAAAAAAUGUUGUUGAUGAGUUGACCAAGGGUUUUUCUAAGAAUGUUGUCCUAGAAUCAUCAAGAGGGAUAGAGCUUAAGUCCUUAAGAAAGUCACCUUUAAUUGGAGGUAAUCCAACCUUUGUGAUUGAAGAUCCCAUGAAGAAGGUUCAAUGGGUAGAAACAAUUCACACUGCAUGACUUAAUAACACUAUUUUUUAGGAAAUUUUUUUUCUCAUUUCUACGGUGAUAGUGCUUUUGAUGUGAUAUUACAUAGGGUAUUUCCUUGAAUGAGCCUGAGCUAGCUAGGAAAUUCUGCAAGGUAUAGGUCACAUGUACCCUUGAAAGACUUACCUAAAUAAGAAUCUUCUUGAGGCCACGACUAUAAGAGUAAGGUUUCCCUAGUAACUCUCAUGAGAAUCAAGAUACUAAUGCAUAGUCAUUAAUAGUACUAACUCGCUUGGAACCAAGUCCUAUACCAAUACAUGUAUGUGACAUAUUAAAGUUUGGCUCAGGGACUUAGACCUAAUUCAAAACAUAGUUUACUAUGGAUUCUCAUAUGGAAAUUGUCAACACUAAGUGUAGGUUCAAGUUUGGAAAACACCUAUACCUAUUACAUAGUAUAAAGUUGUCUAUUAUAAUUUCUCUAUUUAUUUAUUUAUUCAUGUUUAUUAUUAUUUUGAAGUUUUAAACCUUAUGAGGGAAUGUCAUAUUUUAUUUAAAAAUAUAAAGUUUUAAAACUUCUUUUUACAAAAAUAAAUAAAUAAAUAAAGGUUAAGAUUUGGUAUUAUAUCUUUUAUUGUUAUAAAGGUAAAAGACAAUGAAUGACUUUUAUUUUUCCAACCAUUGGAUUGAAUUUUAUAAGAUUUGAUUGGUUUUUAUGAUAUUUUAUGCAAUUGACCAUUUUAAAAUAAUUGAGACCCAAAUGAUCAUUUUCUCAUUCUUUAAAAUUCUUUAUUUGGGAAAAUACAACAAAAUAUUACAAAUCAUCUUCUUCCUUGAGUUUUCACAUUUCUUGGAUGGCUAGAUUAUGAAUAGGUUCUCUCCGUAGUCUUCUUGUCGAUAUGUCAUAGAAGGGACAUUGUUGUGAGCCAACAAUUAAGAUUGUAUUUUGGAGCAACUAUUUUUUGUUAAUAUUGCAUGUAGGUAGGUGAUAGCAGUUUUAGGGUAAUAUGCUACCACGUGCCUCACCAAGCCAUCUCUUCUUUAACUUUGUUUCAAUUGUUAUAUUAUAGUUUUCUAUUUUCAUGUUUUAGUGUUAAGAAAAAAAAAUAGAGAGAACACAGAAGAAUACUCAAUUUUCCUUAACACUUUUUAUGGUCAAAAUGAAACAUUUUUUUUGUUUUUUUGUCUCUCAAUCUUUACGCACUAGGCUUAGCUUUUUAAUUGUUAGGGGUCUGUUUGACACGGUAAUUAGCUUCUGAUGAAGUGUUUUUUUUUACGAAAAUUGGUACAACGAAGUGGUUAUCCCCCUUCAUAUGCUUGAAUUAUAGAACUAAUUAUUUAAAGAGAAACAAAGUACUCAAAUGACUUCAUAAAAUGAACUUUUUUUAUCAUUAACUUGGGAAAAAAAAAAACCUUUUGCAGCAAGUGCUUAUGGCAAUUCAUUCCCUAUCAAAUUUUUAAGAAAUCAAAUAAAAAAUUAAAAACCCUAAAAUUAGACUAUUAAGAAUAGUUGCAAAUUGGAAAGUCAUCAUGUUAGCUCAAGGUUUCUCCCAAUUGAGUUUUGAUGAUAAGAAAACAAGGUUAAUUGUAUUAAUAACUCAAUUAGGUUAAUUGUUUUAGGUUUUCAAAAAUUUAAAAUAAUUCAAGUUCAUUCAAUGAAUGAUCAUGGUUAAUGAAGAGUACUAGAUACUAUUGAAGACCCUUAAAACCAAUGUAAGAUUGUUCUUGUUGGUGCACUUCAAUCAAAUAAAAAAUUUCAUGUACUUGAAGGUUUCAAAAUCACCCUUUUAUGCUUUUAAAUUGAAUAUAUUUUAGUAAAAUUGGAUGGUUUCAUGUUAUCCUAUAAACCCUAACUUAAAUUCUUUCAAAUAUAGGGUUUAUGAAAUGGUUUGAAAACCUUCCUAAGGGUUUAUGAUAUCGAUAGGUUCUCAUUUCUACUAAAUUACAUCAACAAGUCAAGGUAAUGGGGAAUCGAUUGAGUUGUAGGAAUAAAAGCUUGUUGUAACUAUUUCAAGCAUGAGCCUCCACUAAUCGAGGACUAGUUGAGCAUAGAUUGUUCAACCGGUUGAGCAACCUAUUCCAAAUGAUCACCUAUUAUAGCAUUAAAUUCCCAAUGAUUGUUCAACUAAUCAAAUCAAUUGUUCAAUUUAUAGAACCAAAGUUGUGGAUUUUAAAGUUCUCAGGCUAUCCGUCUUUAUAGUGAUGGUUUUAAGAGCAUUUUAUGCAUGAAAAAUCGUAAGUUUUCAAUUACUUCCCUACCUACAAUCUUUUUUACGGUUCUUAAGUGUAACCUUUCUUUCACUUGCAAAUUCUAUAGCACACCAUAAAAUCAAUCCUAGUUUUUAUUGUAUUGUGAGCUUGAUUUGUUUCAUUAGAAUUGAGUGUUCUUCUUUCAUUCUUACUAGCUUCCAAAUUAGUGAUAUUUAUUGUUCAAAUGAGAUUGAUCAUUUGAGGUGACUUAUGAAGGUCGAUUAAAACCUUGGAAUUCAAUUGUAGACAUUAAAGACUUGAGAUUUUAUUGAUAAUAUCCCUUAAAAAUAAAUAUUGCUCAAUAUUUUUAUUUUUAAAAAUUUCUAUAAUAUAGUUGCUAACUAAUUUGGUAUUCAUGUAAUGAUUAUUCAAUCUAUUAAAAGACAUCAAAAGAUUUUUUUUCUCUUAAUAUUUGAAUAGUGAAGAGGUUGUACAUGAAACCAAUUAUAUUGGUACUUAACAACAAAAUGGUUGUCUUGAUACUUCACAAUAAAAUGAUGUGAUCAAAAGGAAAAUUAUAAAUGUAAUAGAUUUCUCCAUAUUAUUUAACUAUAUAAUGUAUUGUGAAUGCCACUCUCAAGUCAUUUAGAAUAAGACCCAUCAUUUUUAUGUGAGGCCAAAUGCUAUAUUUUAAUUGGAAUCACCAAAUAAUUGAAGUUAGAACCAUUUUAAAAGCAUUUUUAAUUAUAAUUUGCAUAAAAGUUUAACUAAUAAAAAAAAUAAAGGAAAGGAAUAAUUUUUAAAUAAAAAGUAAUUAUGUAAAUACUUAAUUAAUAUUUAAUUAUAUAUAUAUUAGACUAUUUAAACUUCACCAUUUCUAAUUUCUUGUUUAAAUUAUUAGUGAGAUGAAAAUCACUAUCACUUAGCAUCAUCCUUUCACUAAUGUGAAACUUCUUGGAUGUUGCCUUUGACUUAACGCUCAAGCCUCUCCAUGAAAUUCCUUCCUUAGGUCAAUUAUAAGAUUCCAUGUAGUGAUGUUACAUAUCAAUAUGAGUAACUCACCAUCCUUCCAUCAAGUCCUAAUCUCAAAACCAACGCCAUGUUAGUGGGGCCAAAGUCUAGGAAGUGCCCAAAUUUGAUCUUAAUUAACCCCUAAAGAAUUUGCACAGACUGUUACAACUCCAAAACAAAACAUCUUUGCAUCUUCCUAGAAGGAGCAAAGCACUUGAUGGAAAAGGGAUAUACUCUUUUUUUAUAUGAUAUGUCUAAGUUUUUCACUACAUGACAUGUAUUUUUUAAUGUUUUACAAUUAUUAUCUUUUAAAAUUAUUAAUUGAAUAGUGAAAUUGGUUACAUUAUUAGCAAAGUAUCUAGAUUCACAUUUAGGGUUGUGGUUGCUUCAAGAGUAAUUCUAAUAAAAAAAAACUUUUAACUUGUAGUGCUCUUAUUAAUACUACUUUGUCAGAAAUAUUUUUAUAGAGAAUCAGUCAAUAUUUAAAUAUAAGUAAAAAAAAAUUGAUAAUAUUUUUACAAUAUGUUACAUAAUAAAAAAAAUAUAAGUAAAAAAAAAAUUGAUAAUAUUUUUUACAAUAUGUUACAUAAUAAAAAAAAAAAGUAACUUUUAGAAGAUAUAUAUAUAUAUAGUACGAGUCUCAAAAUCAUUUCAAGUAAUUCUUCUAUUCUUAAAAGAUAUUUAAAUAUGAUUUUUAAAACUUUGUCAAACUUCGAAUUUUUUUUAUUAAAAAAAAUACUUUCAAAUAUUGAAAAACAUUUUUCAAUAUCCAAGAAUACCUUUAAUUUAAAUAGGAUUUUAAUACUUUGAAAGUCUUUUUGAAGACAUAAUAAAAAUGUCUCUUUUAAUAAGUUAAUAGACUUAAAUAAGAUUAAGAAAGAUAUUCAAAAGCUUCUUGUCAUGUUUUUAUUGGGAAAAGACUAAUCAAAAGGGACCACAACUCAACCAGUAUUAAGUAAAUGCUUUAAAGCAAUUGUCUAUCAUUGUUAUUUGAUCCAAAAUACCAUGUAAAUAUAAUAUUUUUAAAAUUUAAAACAAAAGCCAAUUACUUCCAAAAUCGAACUCAAAAGGUCAUCAAAAUUUUACAAUUUCUUUCCUAACAUUGUUAUCUUUUUGCUUAUUAUCUUCUAUAACACCACCAAAAUGAAUGCUUUAGCUUAAAGGAAUAUAUCAUCAAUAACACUAUAUGACACUAUUUAUGGUAAAGACAACUAAUAUUGUGACUUGUCCUAAGUGUUGAUAUGAAAUCAUUUCAUAUAAAAGAAAAACAUAAUGGAAUAUGAAAGAAAUUAAAUUUGUCAUAUAAGGAUAGGCUGAUAUGUAUUAAGCCUAAAAAUUAUAGCUUUCAUAGAAAGUUAGAUGAGAACAAUUAAUACUUAUAAGCAAUAACAAUUAGGAAGUUCAUUGUGUGUGUAACACUAAUCCCCACACUCUUGUUCUAAUAAAAAUUCUAUUUAUAUUGCAUUUUGCUAUUUAUUCACACAAUUAUUAAUCUCAAUGUAAUUAUUGUGUUCUAAAAAAUCAACGUAUCUCAUAUUUGUAUCAAUUAAGCCUUACAUGGGUGCAAUUAAUUAAUCCUUAAUUAGCAUUAGUCUAAGGUAUUAUUUAUUUUUUUAAUUUUUUCAUGAAAGUAAUCUACUUUCAGAAUUUAUAUUUUUUACUUUUUGUUAACUUAUUACUUUUUUUAAAAAAAAAAAUUAUUAAAUAAAAAAUUCAAAAUAUUUAGUUUUUUUUUAAUGCUAAAAACAACUUAUUAGUUUUUCUUUACUUCUUAAUACUUAAUAAAAAUAAAAUAUUUAAAAAAUAAAUAGUUUAAUACUUAAUACUAUUAUAUAUUAUUUAAUUUAAGUUCUAUGAAUAUGUGCCUCAAAAUCUCCUAAACAUAUCACAUAAUAAAUUUAGAAAAAAAAAAUGUAGUUCCAUGCAUGUACUCAAGUAUAAGAAAAUUUCAAAACCAUACCUUAUCCUAACCAUGAGUAGUUUGUUACUCAAUUAUCAAAUACACAUGGCAUUUCACAUCAUCAUAAUCACCACCCAUUAUGAUUUCUAUUUUUUUUUAUAAUAAAUUGGGCCUUACAUGUUACGUAAGGCAAGGUGGCAUAGAAUAUUCACCAUUUUAGGGUUUAAGGCAAGGUGGCACAACCAUUGGGCGUUGCUUUUCAUGGUAUAAAAUGUUAGCUCAUGAAAAGUACCCUUUGACAUUGAUUGACAAUUAAACGUGUGGCCUUGGAGCAAUAUAAUCAAUUCAAAAUUUCAAUUAACCAUAUGGAAAUCAAUGGUUUCUUGCUUAUGUCCUCGAGUCAAUACAAUUUUACACACAAAAGAAAAAUGAUGAGAUUGGAGAAUUCAUUUCACGUUGAAUUCAUGAUAUGUUACAUAAUUUUUUAUAAAAACAAAAUAAUGCUUCAAAUUAACUUCAAUAUUACAAAUUUUAGGCACAACAAAUUGCAUGAUUUCCAAAUUAUUCUCUCAAAACAAGAUAGUAGAAUAACUUAAAGCCAUAUUAAAUUGUGAGCAAUCGAUUAAAAUAAUUGAAUUGUGAUAGAAGAUCGGAUUUAGCACAUAAUUUUUAAACAAGAUGCAUGAUUUUAAGAAGUUAAUAAAUAACUUCCCAAAUAUUUGCUUAUUUUUUCUAUACAUCCAAACACAAGCGAAGUCACCCUAAUUAAGCUUAAAGCCACCAAUGCAAGACAACAAACAAUCUCAUACCAAUUUCCCCCAAAGCAAAUUCACUUCCAACUUUCUUCUUCUUCUCCUUCUUCUUAUUCUACCUUUCAAUGUCCAUGGGAGCAAAGGCCUGUCCCAUGUGAAUAAAUCCGAGCUUGGUCUUCUCCGGCGAUAGGGCUUCUCCCUCUUCUUCUUCUUCUUCCUUCCCCAAUGACCAGUACUUGACCUUUUCGCCAUAAACUUUAACUAAAAACAAGUAGAAGAACACUGAAAACAUCGCCAUACCGAUAACAUACCAGCUGAACUCUAUGUUUAUCAGCGCUUUAGCUCGGUGGAGCGACUUGUCAUCAUGGCAGUGCGCCACCUGGUGGCCCUCUUCCCAGCGGAGGAAGCACCCUUUAGGGAUAUAGGCUGGAGUCCAAAGCAUAACCCCCAUGACCAUCAGCCAAAGCCCUUGGAAAAGGAUACUAAUAGACCUAACAAAACUCAGUAUAAAGCUCUUGGGAAGGCCUAUUCCCAUGAGAGUAGAUGUUAGGGACAAGGAUAUGAGAAUCUGCAGAAGCAUAUGGUACUGUCCUUCCAUGCCAACAUGAUCUGUAGAAUGAAGGUGAAACAACAGGAGCUGCUGCCCAAAGGCUAUGCCAGCAAGGAGCAGAGACAGGUCAUUCCUCGCCUUAACACCGGCACGAUCAAGGGCAAUGGCUGAUGCCGCGUAAACGAGGAAGGUCAUGGAGAUGGAGGAGUGCUCAAAGUUGUGGAGAUGGUUAGAUGGGAUGGUGCCAUCCACAUCAAAAGGUUGGUGCCUAACAGGGCCAAUGAAGAGCUCCAUGGAUAUGGAGAUGGAGCACCCUAUCAUGAUCAGAAAGAGCUCCAAAUACCUUAUUUUUGAGGUGGGGAACCAUGGGUGACUAGUGUAGGAGUGGGGGUUUUGAGCAUGAAGCUUGAUAUGGUUAAAGAGGUGCCACAACCCAAUUAGAAAGAACCCUAGCCCUGGUAAAACAUGUCCUACCAAAGACCCCAUAUACCCUAAAUUUCAAGGGACAAUUUCAGGGGACAGGUGCCCUAAAACCUAGUUUUUGUGCUUUAAGGAGGAGGAGAUGAGCUUGUUUGAGAUGGGGUCUUGGAGGAGUUUGAAG